rnacentral:rRNA from 1 species
AUACAGUGAAACUGCGAAUGGCUCAUCCAUUCAGUUAUCGUUUAUUUGAUAGUACCUUACUACUUGGAUAUCCGUGGUAAUUCUAGAGCUAAUACAUGCUUAAAAUCCCGACUGUUUGGAAGGGAUGUAUUUAUUAGAUAAAAAAUCAAUGUCUUCGGACUCUUUGAUGAUUCAUAAUAACUUUUCGAAUCGCAUGGCCUUGUGCUGGCGAUGGUUCAUUCAAAUUUCUGCCCUAUCAACUUUCGAUGGUAGGAUAGUGGCCUACCAUGGUUUCAACGGGUAACGGGGAAUAAGGGUUCGAUUCCGGAGAGGGAGCCUGAGAAACGGCUACCACAUCCAAGGAAGGCAGCAGGCGCGCAAAUUACCCAAUCCCGACACGGGGAGGUAGUGACAAUAAAUAACGAUACAGGGCCCUUUCGGGUCUUGUAAUUGGAAUGAGUACAAUGUAAAUACCUUAACGAGGAACAAUU